AAAACAAAACAAAACAGAGAAGGGAGAAAGAAAGAAACAGAGAGCAAAACGAAACAGAGAAGGAAGGAAGGAAAGAAAGAAAGAAAAGAAAAGAAAAAGGGAAAUUUGGGGUUUUAAGGUUCAAAGUAAUUUGGUAAGUCAAUUUAAUCCCAUUUUCUCUUAAUUUUGAUAUUUUUUUUGAAAUCCUAGAAUAAAAUACUACUUGAUUUAAGUUGAAAUUUUGAAAGUUAGUAGAUUAUUAAGCAUGGUUCAUGUUGAAUAAAUUGUUAAAUUAGGGAUGUAUUUGAUAGAAAUUUUGAUUUGAAUUGAAUAAAGGAUUGAAUUGUAAACUAAACUAUAAGUUUUAAAUUUUAGGGAUUAAUUUGAAAUAAAUUCGGAAUUAUGAAAACAUGAUAAAAAUUAAAUAGUUAAAUAUGAGUUUAGUAAGAAAUUGGGUAGAAUAAGGGUAUGAAUUGAGAAAGAAAAAUAUAUAGGUUUAGUUAGGGGUUAAAUUGAUUUAAUUUCAAGUUAGAAGUUAGUAAAGAAUGUAAUUGUAAAAUAAAAUAUAAGUUUUGAAUCGAUAGGGAUUAAAUUGAAAGAAUCCCGAAAUUAGGGAUUUAUGGUGAAAUUGAGGAAUUAAAUUGACUUUAUAGUAAGAAUUAAGAGAGAAUAUAGAGUUAGAUUGGGAAAAAUAAAAUUAGUAUUGGUAAGAGAUUAAAUUAGAAUUUGGGUAAAGUUUAGGUAUAAAAGGAAAUAUUUUAAUGAAAUUGUGUAUUAAUGAUUUUUAAUUGUUUAAUUACGUAGCUAAUGUCGUGUACGAGUCAUUGUCUGAGAAGGAAAGGAGAAAGUGGACAAGGAGUGACUCGAGAGAAAUUACGGUUAGUAUUACUAUAAUUCGAAUUUAAUUAUUAAUUGUUAAAAUUUAAAUUAAUAUACAUGAUAAGAAAAUUGAGGUGAGUAUCAUGAUUGAAUCGAAUGAAAUAUAUAUAUACGUAUUGAUAUUGAAUUUAUUGAUAGUAAUUGUUGAAUUUUGAAUAAUAUGUUUAGUAAAUAAAAAUAAGGAGAAUACCAAUAUUUAAUUGAAUGAAUUAAAAUAUGAAUUGAAUAAAUGAGAUAUUAAAUUGAGAUAUGUGAAUAUGUGAAUUGUGUAUUGAUUGAAAGGUGGUUUGAAUUGAAUCGAAGUAUGAUUAUAUGUGAAUAUCUGAAAUAUGUAUUGGUAUUGAAUUGUAUAUUGAUUUGAAAGUGGGAAGUGAAUCUGAGUUGAAUUGCGAUUAAAUCGAAAGUGAAAUUGAAAAAGAAAAAUGUAUUGAAACAAAUGGUGAUUAAAUGGGAAUGAUUUGAAUUGAAAGUAUGAGAAAGUGAUUGAAUUGAAAUGUGAUUCGGAAACCCUAUUAACUAGUCGGGCUGAGUCGGAUAUAGUUGGCAUGCCAUAGGAUUGGAAGAGUUCAGGGAUACUUCGACCUUGAGUCGAUGAGACACUGGGUGUCAUACUAUUACUUCGGAUAGAUUCGAUGAGGUACUGGGUACCAACUUACUUCGGCUUGGCCGAUGAGACACUGGGUGUCAACUAUUGCUUCGAACUAUCCGAUGAGGCACUGGGUGCCAUUCUGGUGUGUUUGGUUGGAUCCGUGUAUCCGCCAAGGUCCGAGUCUUGUUAAUAGGGGUAAAUAAUUGAAAUGAGAAAAUUGAAUAAAUGUGAUUGAUUGAGCUCGAAAUAAGAGAUUUAAAGAUAUGAACCCAAAGUUCAUGAUAUGAAAAAGAGUAAAUUUUGUUAUAUGAUAUUAGUGAGUACAAAUUGCAAUAAAAUUUAUAUUGAAUAUAAAUUAAAUGAAAUGAAUUGUAUAUGAAUUGAAAUGAACUAUUGGAAUGAGAUGUAAAGAAAAAUCCAAUGGAAUUGAGAUAGUGAAAUAAGGUAUGAAUACAAUUAAAUACAAGAUUUGAAUUAUAGCUUAUUGUUAUUAAUUAUCAAGUUGAUUUAAUGCAUGAGAUAAUUAAUGAAUAAUUGUAGACAUAAAUAAAAUGUAUAUAAUUUAUCGAUUAAUGUUAUUAAUUCGAAUUAUGGUAAUACCACUGAGUAUUUCCAUACUCAGCGUAUGGUUGUUUCCGUGCGCAGGUUAGGUCAAAGUCGGAUUGUUGAAUCAGCAUCCAAAGCCGAUUCUGAGCUAACUGUGGUUGUGAACAUUUCUUUUAGUUAUGGCAUGUAUAGGAAUUUAGUAAUUUUGUAUAUUUGUAAAUAUGAUUUUACUAUAGAAUGAUGUGUAAGUAUUUGAUGAUGAAUGGUUGCUUAAAUGGUCAAGGAUGAAGUUAAUUAUUGUUAUAAAAGUCUAAGUGAUAAAUUAGGUAUGAAAGUCAUAAAAUGGUAAAAUUUUGCAAAGAAACAGAAUUCAGGCAGCAAUAGUGACGUAACUUUGAAAAAUCACCUAGGAUAGUAUAAAAUGAAUUAGAGGGUGAAUGAUAUAUGAAAUGAAAUAUUAUUGAGUCUAUUUAAAAAUAACGGUUUAGCAAAAAGAAAUUUAUAUUUUAAGAUAUGUGAAUUUUAGUGAGAAAUGGUCAGAUCUAUUUCUGGAGUCCCCUGUUCCGAGUUUAGAAAAUCACUAAAAAUGGUAUAAAAAUAUUUAUGAGUUGUAGUUUAUAUGUGUAGAAUCCUUAUUGAGUCUAUUUUCUGUAGAAAUAAGUGGUAAUAUCAUAUGAAAAUCCUAUAAUGAGAAAAUUUAUUUUUAGUACCAAGGGGUCAGGACAGUCGAGUGAAGAAACAGGGGAGAAUUUAACUAAUAAACUGUACUAAAUGGCUAAACCAAAAAUUCUGGAAAUUUUAUGGUAGAAAGAUAUAUGAGUCUAGUUUCAGGAAAAAUUUACGAAAUUAAAUUUGGAGUUCUGUAGCUCGAGUUAUAAUCAAUUUAGUAACUGCUGCGCGAUUAAACAGAUUACUGUAAACAGUGAAAAAUAUUUUUAAAACGAAUUUUUAUGCCCCGAAUUAGUAAGAAAAACUAAGUAAUGCCUCGUACUCGAUUCCGGAAACGGUCUCGGGUAAGGGGUGUUACAUACCCGGUAAGUUAGGGCACCACACCUCGAAGCUCCGAAAAUAAGCAUUUUUUAGACUCGUGUUGUGAUUUAAAAGAAUAUUUCGCAUUUAGAUUGAAUGAGAAAAGUCGAGGCCCAGUAACUUAGGGCACGAUUAUCUCGAAUCACCUAAUGCGGAAUAUUGCUACUUUGUGAAAGAAUUGCAUUAAUAGAUUGAGUGGGAAAUAUAACAUAAUUUAGCAUAAAAGCAAAUUAUAGAAUUGCUAUGUAUGAUGACACAAUGAUAGGUGUGGUAGUGUCAAAAACGAUAAUACGAACAGUUAUAAAAGAUGAUAUAGUAAUGAGGCUAAGCAAACGUAAACACAUGCGUGAGGAAAAUGAAAUAAUCAAACACGCAAGCAAAUAAAUAAAUGAAUAAAUAAAUAAAUAAUGGUAGAAUAAAAUGAUAACGAAAACAAUAAUAACGAUAUGAGUAAAGAUAAACGAAUAAAACGAAUAAAAAAGAAAAUAAUAAAAUAAUGAAUAAAGCAGGAGAUGUUCAAAAUUAAAAGGAACUCAUAAUAAACAAUUAUUAUGUAAAACUAAAGAACGAUAAUAUAGAAACGGUAAUAAUAAUAUUAAUAGUAAUAAUACAGGUAAUGCUUUAGAAAUGAUGUAUGAAAGUGUAUAUACGUACGUGUAUAAAUAAAUAAUAUAUGAUGUGGGUGAGGGAAGAAUAAAAUAAGUGUAUUUAAAAGGUAAUAGGUGAAAAUGUAGGAAUAAUAAUGAUAUAAAUAAUAAUAACAUUAAAAUAAAGUAAUAAGCAAGUGAAAAUAUUAAGUACAAUAAUAUAUGGUCAAAAAAAUACUAUAUAAAAAGUAUAUAUACAUGUAUAAAAUAGACAUAACAAUAAUAUGAUAUAUUAAAAAUAUAUAUAUAUUUAUAUGAUGUUAAAAUAUGUAUAUAUUGUAAUAUCCCGAAUUAGGGCCUAAUCGGAAUAGUGGUUUUGUGACCACAAAUCCAAGAUAGAAAUAAUUAUUUUAUAAUUAUUUUGAUGAUUAUGAUAUGAUUGCAUGAUUGUGUGAAAAUUUCGUGAUGAAAUUCUAUGCCUAAAGUGCUUAAAUUGAAAGUAGCGACUAAAUCGAAUAAGUUGCAAAACUUGCAUUCUAGAAGUUUUUAGUAUGAAAUUGUUUUGGAAUAUUAAUGAGGAGGUCUUAAAUAGCAAUUUGACCAAUUUUAAGUUCAUGGACAAAAUUAGGACAUGGAAGGAAUUUUUGGAAAGUUUAGUAGUAAGGGUAUUUUGGUUAUUUAGUUAUUAAAAUGAAUUAAAAACAAAAUUAAGAGCCAAUUUUUGUCCAUCUUCUUCAUUAGGCCGAAAUUUCAAGGGUUCUCCAUAGCUAGGGUUUGUUUCAAGCUUCCAAGCUCCAUAAUCAAGAAAGACGAGGAAUCGACCUCAAUCGAGGAAAAGAAAAGAUUGUGGACUAAAUUGCAAAAUCUUUGUAUUUUGGUACCAAGUUUUGGACAAGCCAGUUCAGGAGUCGGGAUAGGUCGAAGGCUCAGUCACACUAUCCGGAAGAUUUUUGGUAAAUGGCUUGUAAAUUUAAGUAUGGCAUGUAUAACAAUAUACUUAUUUUGUGUAAAUGAUCUUAUGAUAUGGUGACAGAAUGGUUGAGAAAAUAUUUGAUAAUGAUAAAUUAUGAAAAUGGUAAGUUUAGAUUAUGUUUGAUGUUAAGGAAAAUUAUUAAGAUACUUAGUGCAUAAAAACUCAUAAGA
rnacentral:lncRNA from 1 species